ACGACGACUUUUUUAUUUAUAGCCUAUUUUUAUUUACAAGAUGUAGGCCUAUACAGUAGAAAGAAAUGGAGAAUAUAAGAUUAAUGUUUUUUGAUAUGAGACAACAAGUAGCCUAUGACAGGAGACAGGUGUGUUAGGUGUUCGGGCUACUAUAUUAGACCCAAAAAAUGAAACAUUGACAUAAGUCAUUUAACAAAAUACACAUAGGCUUUUAAAUAUAACUAUUUUGCUGAAAACAACGUAUGGGAUACUACUUUUUCUUUUGCUGUUUAUAUGAUUUCUUUUAUGACGUAAGUUCAGUGAUGUAUGACCGUUCAAAAAUAGACUUAACUCAUUUGAAUAAAGGAUCCCCCAACAACAUAGAUACUGUCAGUCAUUGAGUUCAUUUUUACAGCUUUUUGGACAAACCCCUUGAUAAAUUACUCCUCCCUUUUAGACUUUCAGUUCCCGUUUUUAAUGGGUGUGGGUCUCAUUUUUUACAAAGAAAACCUUGUGAAAAAUACAGCGAAAAGAAAACUGUCAACUAUAACGGAAGAAUUUUUACUACUGGAACAAAUAUAUCUCGUGGAAUAAAACAAGUAUCUAGAAAUAAACUGCAACCUAAGACUUUUUAAUGAGUAAAUAUAUUUACUGUGUCUGUAGUGAGAGGGGAGUGAGCCGCGGAAUCCCCGCGAGGACACCCGCGCCGCGUGACUCAUUGGCCAGGGAUUUCCGUCUUUGAAAUUACGAGACAGAGGUGCGAGGGUAUCCCAGCAGCUAAUGCCCACCCGUUCGGACAUUUUAAGCAUGAAACUCAAUCUUGUGUAACUUAGAGUAGCCGUGUGACCUUUGAAACUGUUGCGGCUGAUAACUAAAGCAAUGUUAUUUUUUACAUAGGCUAGCUACAGUAAAAAAAUAAGUAUCAAGUGUUACGUCAUACCAGCGUCUGUCAAACGUCGAUAUAACAUUCCCUCAUUAAACUCAUAACUUAAGCUAGUUUAGGAUUCUAAACCAAUUAUGUCUAAAUUAUGUCAUUAAUGGCAGCUACAACAAAGAGAACUGUUGUUGUUACAACAUACCCCACUACUUAUUUAUGUACUUUUGUUUAUUAAAAAUCAAUCAGGGUCAAAUCCUAUGAACACUACUUUUAAAUCAAAUAAAAUUAGAAAAAAUAUAAAAAUUCAUGAAACAUAAUUUAAAAAAAAAAAACAACAACUGUGUUUGUGUUAAUCAACUUUAGACCUAUACUGUACUAUUUGUGUGUCCAGUAUGUAAAUGCUUUAUAAAUACAAGGGUAAUGGUCAUGUAUAAUAAUGAUUUCACCCCUGUAGCUCAUUUCUGAUUGGUUAAGCUAAACCCACCCUGUGUUAAACCAUAUAUAACCGUCAAAAUCAACAUUUUUUAAACUCCAUUAUUGUUUUAACUCCUUCAAUAUUUGACCAUAUUUAAUUUUUUUUUUAAGCUUUCACUUAAUGUAGCACUUUAGUAUCUGAUUUUUUUUUUUUUUUUUUUUUUUUUUUUUUUUGUAUUUCUUUAAUUUGAGUCGGUUAUAUGCAUUUUGAGACAGUGAGCUUUAAAAAGUAACAGGCUGAGAAGUGGAGUAAUUAAAAUGAACUGGAAUAGAGAACAAGAAAAAAAAAAGAGGAGAGAUAAGAAAAGGAAUGAUCCUCUCGAGGUUAUGCCCAGUGGAAUUUCCAUGCUGAUUAAACCAAAGCAACCUUCCUCUUUUGAAUCCCCUUCCCCAUAAGAAUUACUUAAUGUUUUGGUGAAACCAGUUACUUUUCCUGUAAAGGAAUACCUUACAGAAAGAGACAAAAAAAGCAGUUCUUGUGUCUAAGCUAUAUAUAGAUGAAUCGACUGAAACACUAAUAUGAGUUAUAUAGGCAAAACUAUUACAUCAUGGAGCUACAUAAUAUACUCUGAUUAGCUCAUAAAAGAUAAUAAAAUAAUUUAGAGGUGUUUCUCUCACACUUCCUUGUGGGAAAGAAAUAUCUGUGAGUGAAGCAGUAAUUUGAUUAAUAUUUAUAUUAGAUCUUCCUUGUUUAUUCCUGGUGGCUAGAUGAAGUAUUGCAGCUUAACUGUGAUCUAUACAGCUGAUUUCAGCUCAGUACCGCUACUCAGUGCGACAUCUGGUAGGCAUCAAAUCUGACUCUAAAUCAGUACCUAAGCAUCUAUUCAGACACCUCUGAUGGGGCCCCUCUAAAGGAUGUACGUCACAGCAGGAAGAUGUGGUUUGCCACGAAGAGCGUAACGGAGAAAGGAAAUAGUUACAGAGAAUGUGCUGUGAGAACCUUCUCCAUAGACGCAGGGUUUCUGAUAAAGAAGACAGGUAGACGUGACCUCACUACCUCUUUUCCAAAUGGAAUACCUUCCUCACGGAAUACGUAACUGAAGCCCACUGGAAACCUCCGAUAUUUGCAUUUGCUGUCUUUUUCAGUUUCUUUUAGUGACUAACACAAAGAAAACACAUUUUUAUGUCAUACCAGCACCUGCUAUUAAAAACGGCCCUGGGGAAAUCACAUUACUGUAGAAAUGUUACUUGAAAUUACAACAACAACAAUAAAUGUGCAUCCAGCAAGAUGUACAUGUUUUACUUGCUUUGACUGCUUGAACAAAUCUAUUAAAUUUACAGUGACAUUUUAAAACAAUUUAACUAUUUAAUAGAACGAUCAAAAAAUACCAAAAAAAAUAA